rnacentral:rRNA from 1 species
GUCGUGGAGUGCAUACGAGUGAGAAUGCAGGCAUGAGUAGCGAAUGACGGGUGAGAAACCCGUCCGCCGAAUAUCCAAGGGUUCCAGGGUCAAGUUAAUCUGCCCUGGGUUAGUCGGGACCUAAGGCGAGGCCGACAGGCGUAGUCGAUGGACAACGGGUUGAUAUUCCCGUACCGGCGAAACAACGUCCGUGCUGGGGCACGCGAUGCUAAGCAUGCGAGACUGUCUGCUGCCUUUCGGGGUGGUGGGUGGUUGAGUCUGUGAUCCGAGUGUGUAGUAGGCAAGCCGCGGAGGGACGCAGGAAGGUAGCUCAUCCUCAGCGUUGGUUGUCUGAGGCUAAGUGUGUAGGGUGGGGUGUAGGUAAAUCCGCAUUCCGUGAUGCCUGAGACACGAUGGGCCUGCACCGUUUGGGUGUGGGUUGAGUGAUCCUAUGCUGCCUAGAAAAGCUUCGUUGGCGAGUUGUUAGCCGCCCGUACCCUAAACCGACACAGGUGGAUAGGUAGAGAAUACCGAGGCGAUCGGGAUAAUCGUGGUGAAGGAACUCGGCAAAAUACCCCCGUAACUUCGGGAUAAGGGGGACCUGAUACGUGACCAGCUUUGCGUUGUGAGCGUUGAGGGUCGCAGAGACCAGGCCCAAGCGACUGUUUACUAAAAACACAGGUCCGUGCCAACUCGUAAGAGGAUGUAUACGGACUGACUCCUGCCCGGUGCUGGAAGGUUAAGGGGAACUGUCAGCCGCAUUUUGUGUGGUGAAGCGGUGAACUUAAGCCCCAGUAAACGGCGGUGGUAACUAUAACCAUCCUAAGGUAGCGAAAUUCCUUGUCGGGUAAGUUCCGACCUGCACGAAUGGAGUAACGAUUUGGGCGCUGUCUCCACCACGAACCCGGUGAAAUUGCAUUACGAGUAAAGAUGCUCGUUACGCGCAGCAGGACGGAAAGACCCCGGGACCUUUACUACAGUUUGGUAUUGGUGAUCGGUGUGACUUGUGUAGGAUAGGUGGGAGACUUUGAAACCGGGACGCCAGUUCCGGUGGAGUCGUCGUUGAAAUACCACUCUGGUCAUUCUGGUUAUCUAACCUAGGACCGUUAUCCGGUUCAGGGACAGUGCCUGAUGGGUAGUUUGACUGGGGCGGUCGCCUCCUAAAAGGUAACGGAGGCGCCCAAAGGUUCCCUCAGCCUGGUUGGCAAUCAGGUUUCGAGUGUAAGUGCACAAGGGAGCUUGACUGUGAGACCGACGGGUCGAGCAGGGACGAAAGUCGGGACUAGUGAUCUUCUGGUAGCGAAUGGAAGCGCCAGGACUCAACGGAUAAAAGGUACCCCGGGGAUAACAGGCUGAUCUUGCCCGAGCGUCCAUAGCGACGGCAUGGUUUGGCACCUCGAUGUCGGCUCGUCGCAUCCUGGGGCUGGAGUCGGUCCCAAGGGUUGGGCUGUUCGCCCAUUAAAGCGGCACGCGAGCUGGGUUUAGA